GUCUGGCUCAGGACGAACGCUGGCGGCGCGCCUAACACAUGCAAGUCGAACGAGAGAGAGGGAGCUUGCUUCCUUGAUCGAGUGGCGAACGGGUGAGUAACGCGUGAGGAACCUGCCUCAAAGAGGGGGACAACAGUUGGAAACGACUGCUAAUACCGCAUAAGCCCACGGCUCGGCAUCGAGCAGAGGGAAAAGGAGCAAUCCGCUUUGAGAUGGCCUCGCGUCCGAUUAGCUAGUUGG
rnacentral:rRNA from 1 species